UCCUAAUGAUGCAGUUUUUUCCCAAAUGUCUGACCUGAAAUUAGACAUGUUGAUACUAUAUUGAACUGAGGAA
ensembl:snoRNA small nucleolar RNA SNORD78